CCCCUACGGGAGGCAGCAGUGGGGAAUAUUGGACAAUGGGCGAAAGCCUGAUGCAGCGACGCCGCGUGAGGGAUGAAGGCCUUCGGGUUGUAAACCUCUUUCGCUCAUGGUCAAGCCGCAACAGUGGUUGUGGUGAGGGUAGUGGGUAAAGAAGCACCGGCUAACUACGUGCCAGCAGCCGCGGUAAUGGGG
rnacentral:rRNA from 1 species